UGCAGUCGACGAGGGCAUUCGGCCCUAGUGGCGCACGGGUGAGUAACGCGUGGGAACCUGCCCUGUGGUACGGAAUAACUCCGGGAAACUGGAGCUAAUACCGUAUGUGUCCUGNGGGACAAAGAUUUAUCGCCAUGGGAUGGGCCCGCGUAGGAUUAGCUUGUUGGUGGGGUAACGGCCUACCAAGGCAACGAUCCUUAGCUGGUCUGAGAGGAUGAUCAGCCACACUGGGACUGAGACACGGCCCAGACUCCUACGGGAGGCAGCAGUGGGGAAUAUUGGACAAUGGGCGCAAGCCUGAUCCAGCAAUGCCGCGUGAGUGAUGAAGGCCUUCGGGUUGUAAAGCUCUUUCGCACGCGACGAUGAUGACGGUAGCGUGAGAAGAAGCCCCGGCUAACUUCGUGCCAGCAGCCGCGGUAAUACGAAGGGGGCUAGCGUUGUUCGGAAUUACUGGGCGUAAAGGGCGCGUAGGCGGUACUUCAAGUCAGGCGUGAAAGCCCCGGGCUCAACCUGGGAACCGCGCUUGAGACUGGAGAACUAGAGUUCGGGAGAGGAUGGUGGAAUUCCCAGUGUAGAGGUGAAAUUCGUAGAUAUUGGGAAGAACACCGAUGGCGAAGGCAGCCAUCUGGACCGACACUGACGCUGAGGCGCGAAAGCGU
rnacentral:rRNA from 1 species